rnacentral:rRNA from 1 species
AUUGAACGCUGGCGGCAGGCCUAACACAUGCAAGUCGAGCGGAUGAUGGGAGCUUGCUCCUGGAUUCAGCGGCGGACGGGUGAGUAAUGCCUAGGAAUCUGCCUGGUAGUGGGGGACCACGUUUCGAAAGGAACGCUAAUACCGCAUACGUCCUACGGGAGAAAGCAGGGGACCUUCGGGCCUUGCGCUAUCAGAUGAGCCUAGGUCGGAUUAGCUAGUAGGUGAGGUAAAGGUUCACCUAGGCGACGAUCCGUAACUGGUCUGAGAGGAUGAUCAGUCACACUGGAACUGAGACACGGUCCAGACCCCUACGGGAGGCAGCAGUGGGGAAUAUUGGACAAUGGGCGAAAGCCUGAUCCAGCCAUGCCACGUGUGUGAAGAAGGUCUUCGGAUUGUAAAGCACUUUAAGUUGGGAGGAAGGGCAGUAAGUUAAUACCUUGCUGUUUUGACGUUACCGACAGAAUAAGCACCGGCUAACUUCGUGCCAGCAGCCGCAGUAACAC